CCAUGGGACAAACACCACCACCAGCACCACCACCUCCACCAGCCCCACCACCACCACCUCCCAUGGCACCAGCCCUACCCAUGUAACCCCCACCCCUGGGACCACCCCCCAUAAGACCACCAUCUCCAAGGGGACAGCCCCCACCCCUGGAACCACCACACCCAGUAAGACCACCAGCCCCAGUAAGACCACCACCCCCAGCGCGGGGGUGGUGGAGGGGGGGUUGGUCCCAGGGUGGGGGAUCGCUCUGCUGGUGCUGGCGUCCCUGUUGGUGCUGCUACUGUUCUUACUGAUCAUAGGACUGGUGGCGUGGUGCUGUCAUGGUAAGAGGGUCAACAGCUUCAGUCCCUACAACCAGCUGAACUCCAACAUCCCGCUGUACUCCACCCACGGACGCUUCGACGCCCCCAACGGCGGCACCUACGACGAUGGAGGGAAGGGCCUUCGUACGGGCUCCUAUGACGUGGAACACUAGCGACGCCCCCCCGGCCAAGUCCAUCGCUGUAGUUUGAUUGUAUUCAUUUUGUUCUCUUUCGCCUUUUGUUGCUCAAAAGUAUUCUUUUAAUUUAUUUUUUUAAUCGAAUUGAAGUCGAAUUCGACAGCCUGUAAUAAUGUUUGGGACCGCUUUGAAUUCUGUGUAUUAAGAAAGAACAAUGAUUGAUUUUGUACUUUUUUUAAAUCAUCUGUAUAAUUGGAAAAUAACAUGACACACAAACUGUAGAAGAGGAAUAUUAAAGUUUUUUUACAUGUAGGCGUUUGUGUGUGAACUCACGUACCAAAGGCUUUCACCAGGCAGCCCUGUUUGGCAAGGCAUGAGAGUAGGGACUUGAUCCAUGGACUCUGUCUGACUCACCCUCACACUGUGACUGAUUUCUGUUGACCGAGGGCAGGCCGACACUCUGAGCCAGCUAGCUGUUAGCCACGUAGCGAACAAAGGAGGAUUCAGAGUGCGGUCACUGAGUGUUCCUGUCUCUCUCAAGAGGCUGUUUGCUUUGUCUCAAUCCAACCCAUCCUGUUUACAAACACUUUCCAUCCCAUAAGCCCUGGGUAGGACUGUACCAUCCAGUAUGCAGGGACGGGUUUUCCCAGAGGGGAGCCUGUCUGACACCCCAGACUCAAAGGUUGUGGGUUCAUCCCCAAAUGUCUCCGUGUCCCUCAUGGUCUUAGGUCCGACCCCCUGCACAGGGACGUGAGCUAGAGGAUUCCCCGUGGCAACAGGGUGACCGCGGGGUGUUGUGCGUUCCACAUUUAACCAGAGGAAUCCCCGUGGCAACAGGGUGACCGCGGGGUGUUGUGCGUUCCACAUUUAACCAGAGGAAUCCCCGUGGCAACAGGGUGACCGCGGGGUGUUGUGCGGUCCACAUUUAACCAGAGCCGACGUGUGACGUCACCCAACAUUAAUCACCGGCUCCACCUGACCCUUUGUUAUUCAGCCGGGGCUGAGUCAGCAUGUGGAAUAUUAAUAUUAAUAUCACAUCGGCAUGGAGACGGACUG